rnacentral:rRNA from 1 species
GUGGGGAAUAUUGGACAAUGGGCGAAAGCCUGAUCCAGCCAUGCCGCGUGUGUGAAGAAGGUCUUCGGAUUGUAAAGCACUUUAAGUUGGGAGGAAGGGCAGUAAGUUAAUACCUUGCUGUUUUGACGUUACCGACAGAAUAAGCACCGGCUAACUUCGUGCCAGCAGCCGCGGUAAUACGAAGGGUGCAAGCGUUAAUCGGAAUUACUGGGCGUAAAGCGCGCGUAGGUGGUGUUGUAAGUUGGAGGUGAAAUCCCCGGGCUCAACCUGGGAACUGCCUCCAAAACUGCAUGACUAGAGUACGGUAGAGGGUAGUGGAAUUUCCUGUGUAGCGGUGAAAUGCGUAGAUAUAGGAAGGAACACCAGUGGCGAAGGCGACUACCUGGACUGAUACUGACACUGAGGUGCGAAAGCGUGGGGAGCAAACAGGAUUAGAUACCCCGGUAGUCC